AGCCUGUUAGCUCAGUUGGUACAGAGCACUGCACCAGUAUUGCAGUGGUCAUGGGUUCAACUCCCAUACAGGCCU